AACGAACGCUGGCGGCAGGCUUAACACAUGCAAGUCGAACGGAUCCUUCGGGAUUAGUGGCAGACGGGUGAGUAACGCGUGGGAACGUACCCUUUGCUACGGAAUAACUCAGGGAAACUUGAGCUAAUACCGUAUGUGCCCUCCGGGGGAAAGAUUUAUCGGCAAAGGAUCGGCCCGCGUUGGAUUAGCUAGUUGGUGGGGUAAUGGCCUACCAAGGCGACGAUCCAUAGCUGGUCUGAGAGGAUGAUCAGCCACACUGGGACUGAGACACGGCCCAGACUCCUACGGGAGGCAGCAGUGGGGAAUAUUGGACAAUGGGCGCAAGCCUGAUCCAGCCAUGCCGCGUGAGUGAUGAAGGUCUUAGGAUUGUAAAGCUCUUUCACCGGUGAAGAUAAUGACGGUAGCCGGAGAAGAAGCCCCGGCUAACUUCGUG
rnacentral:rRNA from 1 species